rnacentral:lncRNA from 1 species
CCACAGUAGCCACAGAGCUGCCUGCAGGGAAGAGCAUCACACAAAACCAGAGCCCAAGACCUCACCUUUCACAUUGGGCUGGGGGGUUGUACCUGGUCACUCCCGUAGUGAAUAUGGGAGUCUCAGGCACUACACUCCUAUAGUCACUGCAGGAGUAGCUGCAGAUGGGAAAAAUAGGCUGUGCACAGACUGUGCAAAAAUGAGUCUUGAGAAAUUUUCCUAUUAACAAGACAAAAUGUUGAAAGUGUUGAGACAGCAGGGUGACUAUCAAAGGCUGCUAAAACCCUCAUUGGUCAAGUUAAACUGAGCUUAGAUGUAUCCUGGAAGGCCACAAGCCAUAGCUGAAAACAAUAUAGAAAGUAUUUAACCCAGUGAUUAAUCUCUGAUCACAAAAGAGCGUGCUGACAUUCAUGAUGUCUCCUGUACCAGAUCGGCUUCUUGGUGGAACUGCAUGAAUGCUUAAUCCAGACACUAAAACUUUGGUGAAAUAAUGGAAGACAUUUCAUGGACUUUAAUACUCACUCCAGUAUAUUUAUGGUCCAGUCCUCUAUCCUUAUUGUCCACAGGGAAUCUUUUACUAUAUGUAUCUGAAACUUAUGCUGAACCAGAACAAGCCACACUUAAUCUUGGAGCAUGGAACAAGGAGUAGAAGGUUCACUUCAACAUCCCAAGAGGCAUUCUUAGCUGGAUUAAUUUUUCCUAUUCACAAGUAUGUCUUACUAAGAUGGGAUGUCCAUUUAAAGAGGAACGUUCUUAAACUGUUUUGAAAUGCAACCUGAAGGAAGCAAAUGGUUGGGGAUUGAGGGAGGUCAAACAACAUCAUAUAUUGCAUCCCUCCUCCUUGGACUAUUCCAUCUUGUUCUGUGACAGUCCAAGAGUAGUAACAACUUUCCAUAUAUUGACCUAUGUUUUAAAUGAGAUGGAUAUCAACUGCAUCUGAACUGAUAUAACAGCAUAAGCAAGGUCUUUUACAUUCUGUAAAAGGUGCUCUAAAAUGCUUUAACUUUAGCUCUCAAAUGUGCUAGCAGAUGUGAAAAUUACCUGUUGAAACCAGGAACAAUUAAAG